GACGAACGCUGGCGGCGUGCUUAACACAUGCAAGUCGAACGAAGAGCGAUGGAAGCUUGCUUCUAUCAAUCUUAGUGGCGAACGGGUGAGUAACGCGUAAUCAACCUGCCCUUCAGAGGGGGACAACAGUUGGAAACGACUGCUAAUACCGCAUACGAUCUAAUCUCGGCAUCGAGGAUGGAUGAAAGGUGGCCUCUAUUUAUAAGCUAUCACUGAAGGAGGGGAUUGCGUCUGAUUAGCUAGUUGGAGGGGUAACGGCCCACCAAGGCGAUGAUCAGUAGCCGGUCUGAGAGGAUGAACGGCCACAUUGGGACUGAGACACGGCCCAGACUCCUACGGGAGGCAGCAGUGGGGAAUCUUCCGCAAUGGACGAAAGUCUGACGGAGCAACGCCGCGUGAGUGAUGACGGCCUUCGGGUUGUAAAGCUCUGUUAAUCGGGACGAAAGGCCUUCUUGCGAAUAGUUAGAAGGAUUGACGGUACCGGAAUAGAAAGCCACGGCUAA
rnacentral:rRNA from 1 species